UUUAGCAGUUUUCCAUCAUCCUAAAGUUGUAACAGACAAGACGUUACCUGUUUUAUUAUUGUAUUUAGCUCCUUUAUUAUUCUUGUUUUCUUAGUGUGUAAAUCACUUGUAGUACCACUAGGAGCAGCUUGAGGGCGCUAGUGCCGGGAGGUAACCGGGCAUAUAAGCUUGGCCACCAUAGAAUAAGUUAGCUUGUUUGGUAGAGGGAAGCCUUGUGGUUUGAACUCAAGCUAUCUUCUUGCUCAUUUAAAGUCCUUUGAGAACUCUAUGUUUCUGCUCAACUAAAGGACUUUUUUUAUGUCACGUGUAUGAUGAGAUGUCUUAAUGGUAAUUGGAGACCUCGAAGUCCAGUUUAAGUCAAGCUGGUAGCGAGGCUACAGCACAUGGCCUUAACUCACACGGUGGGCGACUCAACAAACGACGUUGAACGAUUAUCUCUCUCGUGGUGGAUUAUAGGACUUCAAACAUUGCAUUGCACUCAAAUAACCUUGUGGAUUUAAAGCUCAUUUCAUCUUCAUCAUUUCAACUCAUCAAAAGACUGGACUAACGCUAAGUUUACUUCACCUCACUGACUCAUUUAAAAGAGACAAAGCUGGCUCUCAAGUUUAUUCAUUGACUUUGUGACGCAUGUAAAUAAGCACUUCUGGGGAUAAUAAAAUGGGUUUAAAAGAUCAUUUGUUUUGUGAAAAGGUUUUAUUCAGUACAUGUCAAAAAUCUGUUGAACCCCUCGGAGUAACAUCUAAAAAAAAAGAAAAAAACAAAGGAGGUGUUUUUUUUUUUUUUUUUUUUUUUUUUUUAAAUGGGGUUUUUGGUUCAGUGCUUGAAAUAAGGUCUGUGGUAGACACAAUCUCAAUAUAUUUUUACUUUUUAUUCUACGAUAUAAAAUAUAUCAGUAAUACCCGCUUGUGUUUUUUUUUUUUUUUUUUUUUUUUUUUUUUUUUUUUAAAUCUUGUAAAAUGCAGUUGUUAACAAUUGUCUAAAUGGGACAACAGAGGUAAACUUAUCUACUUACUAGUCACUUUCACAGUCUCUUUGAAUUAUCACACACGUGCAAACUAUUAUACCUUGAACUUUUAUGGAAAAUGUCUUUAAACAAAGACUGAAAGAGCUGUCAGAGACUUAGCGAUGGUGACGCUUGAGUCAUGUGACUGUAGUGUUGGUGCUGGUGACCGUUUAGAUUUUGACUUCUUACGAUUGUAUUUACACUUCAAAAUUCAUAAAAGUUGCGUUCAUUAGUGAAGAUUAUUAUGAUGAACAAAACAUGUAAGAAUCAAAAGCUUUUGUUAGUCACAGACCUUAUUUUCUGCAAUAAUCCAAAAGCCAAAAAAAAUUCUAUUGGGUUUUUGUAGAGAGACCCAGGGUGAUGCAAACUGAUGGCCUGGUCAUCCCUACACUACUCUAUAUAUUGUGGUGACUGUAUAAAAUGUCUAUCGUUAUAGCAAAAUCUCUGUCUUGUAUAUCGUGGUAUGUAAAUGUAUACGUGUAGCACAGCAUUAUUGACACUGAAGUGCAUGAAUGAGACAAUAAAGAGUGGUACGUGCUUGA